rnacentral:lncRNA from 7 species
GAUCAAAUCAGCAAGAUGGCAUGAGCAAGGACCUGCUGCAUUACAUGGCUUGCAGCUUGCUCCUAUUGCACAUCAAAGAGGCUGCACAGAAUGGGACCAGGGAAGCAAAUUGAUGGCAAACGUUAGGAAGAUGCAGGUCCAGAAAUACCCUGCUCCAAACCAGCAGCAAUCAGGGAGCCAAGAGGCACAACACUGAGUGUGGAGAAAGGCAGUCUGCAAACCCAGUCUCUCCACAGCCUUCAUCGUCCCAGUCUAAGAUCCUCUGGCAUAGGUGGAUGGACUCCCAUCGACUUUUCCAGGGCUUGAAUUCAGCCUUUUAGGAACCAAGACAAAAGAGCAAGAGCUCCUCUUUAAUUGAUGACUCAUCCAUCACCACAGCUCAAACUCGUUUUGACAAGUAGAGGGAAAAACCCACAAAUUAAGUGACCAUCGCCUGCCUUCCCCUUUCUUGCUGAUUGUAAAGGAGAACUUUUGACCUUUCUGGCUCAAACAACAUGGCUUGGCAGGAGCUGGUUGCUCACCCCAGUUGAACUGUGCCAUGCAUGUAUCCCCAUACAAGAGGUGCCUUUCACGUGCUAAAUGAUCCUUCUCUCCCUCCUUUGCUCUAUCACAGCACUAUAGGGACAGACAAUGGCACAGCUCCAUGGCGGAGGGAGGAGGUUCUCAUUAAGAGCCUCUUGUUAGGGAUGAAAGACUGGCUGGAUCAUCCUGCUGUCAUUAUUUGUGCUCCAUACUGAUUUCCAGAAGAGGCUGGUGGGAAGGAAGGAAAAAAAAUAGUAAUAGCAAAUUGAUAAGAUUCCUGACAGCUUUCUGAGGCUCGAGUCCCAGGGAAAGCAGGGCUGGUCCAGCACCAGAACAUCAAAGUGAAGAGCGAGGGGAGCAGUCCCAGCUGGAGCCAGUGAGAUAGCUGCCUGCUUGUUCUUUCUGCCUGUGGAUAAGGGCACAUCUGGGGACAUUUGGACCCCUGGGGGUGGAGCAUCAUCCAGCAACCGCCAGGCAAGCAGCAAAGGGGCCUGAGGUCAAGAGGAUUGGCAGGUAUGGUGGGCACGGGUUGACGGCUGGACUAGGCAAUCUUAGCAGUCUUUUCCAACUCUAUUGGUUCUAUGAUUCUCUGUGCAUUUGCUCCAGGAGAUUUCAGGUUUGCAGGGGAAAGCUUCACCAAGGAAGGACCUCCAGAAAAAGAUCCUUCCCCA